rnacentral:miRNA from 1 species
UUUAUGGAACGGAGGGAGUAG